CACGUAGGAGGCGAGCGUUGUCCGGAAUCAUUGGGCGUAAAGAGCGCGCAGGCGGCUUGGCAAGUCGGGUGUGAAAUCCCGGGGCUCAACCCCGUGACUGCAUCCGAUACUGUCAGGCUAGAGGUAGGUAGGGGAGAUCGGAAUUCCAGGUGUAGCGGUGAAAUGCGUAGAUAUCUGGAGGAAUACCGGUGGCGAAGGCGGCAUCCUGGACCGGCAUUGACGCUGAGGAGCGAAAGCCAGGGGAGCAAACAGG
rnacentral:rRNA from 1 species